rnacentral:tRNA from 1 species
GAGAGUAUAGCUCAGUGGUAGAGUGUGUGUUUAGCAUGCAUGAGGUCCUGGGUUCAAUCCCCAGUACCUUCA